UCCAGAGGAAGGCUCGUCCGCUCUGGGUUAGUCGGGUCCUAAGCUGAGGCCGACAGGCGUAGGCGAUGGAUAACAGGUUGAUAUUCCUGUACCACCAUUAUUCGUUUUAAGCGAUGGGGGGACGCAGUAGGAUAGGCGAAGCGUGCUGUUGGAGUGCACGUCCAAGCAGUGAGAUUGAGUGUUAGGCAAAUCCGGCACUCUUAAGAUUGAGCUGUGAUGGGGAGAGGAACUUGUUCCUCGAGUCGUUGAUUUCACACUGCCGAGAAAAGCCUCUAGCUAGAAUAACGGUGCCCGUACCGCAAACCGACACAGGUAGUCAAGAUGAGAAUUCUAAGGUGAGCGAGCGAACUCUCGUUAAGGAACUCGGCAAAAUGACCCCGUAACUUCGGGAGAAGGGGUGCUCUUUGAGGUUCACGCUUCGAAGAGCCGCAGUGAAUAGGCCCAAGCGACUGUUUAUCAAAAACACAGGUCUCUGCUAAACCGUAAGGUGACGUAUAGGGGCUGACGCCUGCCCGGUGCUGGAAGGUUAAGAGGAGUGGUUAGCGCAAGCGAAGCUACGAAUCGAAGCCCCAGUAAACGGCGGCCGUAACUAUAACGGUCCUAAGGUAGCGAAAUUCCUUGUCGGGUAAGUUCCGACCCGCACGAAAGGCGUAACGAUUUGGGCACUGUCUCAACGAGAGACUCGGUGAAAUCAUAGUACCGGUGAAGAUGCCGGUUACCCGCGACAGGACGGAAAGACCCCGUGGAGCUUUACUGUAGCCUGAUAUUGAAAUUCGGUACAGUUUGUACAGGAUAGGUAGGAGCCUUAGAAGCGUGAGCGCUAGCUUACGUGGAGGCAUUGGUGGGAUACUACCCUAAUUGUAUUGGAUUUCUAACCCGCAGCACUUAUCGUGCUGGGAGACAGUGUCAGGCGGGCAGUUUGACUGGGGCGGUCGCCUCCUAAAGAGUAACGGAGGCGCUCAAAGGUUCCCUCAGAAUGGUUGGAAAUCAUUCAUAGAGUGUAAAGGCAUAAGGGAGCUUGACUGCGAGACCUACAAGUCGAGCAGGGUCGAAAGACGGACUUAGUGAUCCGGUGGUUCCGCAUGGAAGGGCCAUCGCUCAACGGAUAAAAGCUACCCCGGGGAUAACAGGCUUAUCUCCCCCAAGAGUUCACAUCGACGGGGAGGUUUGGCACCUCGAUGUCGGCUCAUCGCAUCCUGGGGCUGUAGUCGGUCCCAAGGGUUGGGCUGUUCGCCCAUUAAAGCGGUACGCGAGCUGGGUUCAGAACGUCGUGAGACAGUUCGGUCCCUAUCCGUCGUGGGCGUAGGAAAUUUGAGAGGAGCUGUCCUUAGUACGAGAGGACCGGGAUGGACAUACCUCUGGUGUACCAGUUGUCGUGCCAACGGCAUAGCUGGGUAGCUAUGUAUGGACGGGAUAAGUGCUGAAAGCAUCUAAGCAUGAAGCCCCCCUCGAGAUGAGAUUUCCCAACUUCGGUUAUAAGAUCCCUCAAAGAUGAUGAGGUGAAUAGGUUCGAGGUGGAAGCGUAGCGAUACGUGGAGCUGACGAAUACUAAUCGAUCGAAGACUUAAUCAAUAU
rnacentral:rRNA from 1 species